GAAAUAUUGCAGUCCUCAUGAACACAUUUGCUGAGCCUUUCUUUUGUCAUGUUUAAUCACUUUUCAUCCGCUCAGAUUCUGCGUUCUUCAUUCGAGCAUCCUGAUGAACUUCUGACAACAGAUAAUCUUUCCUUGGCUUUAAGCUCAGGUGUUUUGACAACAUUAUUGGUGUGCUGCUGCUGAUGCGGGUGCUGAGCAAUUGGCCAUUUGUUUUGGUGCAAUGAUGAUGUUUUAAAUUGAGGUCACUCACUUUCUGAAGCGAGAAAUGAAAGAAUUGUUUAUUGCACGAUUAUUUGGACCGGCUGGUUUUGUGAAACCCGUUCUGAUUCUGUGGUUAUGAAGAUUGAGUGAAUGGUGGUACUUUCAUUGUGCUAUCAACAGUUUUAACAAUAUUAUUAAUGGAAGAUAACUGGAAUGAGAAUACUAUUAGGAUGCCGCACAGAUUCAAGAGUGGAUUUAGAGAAGACUCUUCCAUGGCGUGGGUUUUGUCAAAGUUCAUUUCGAGAGCAAGUUAUCAUCUGAUGUUAGUGGAUGGGUUGAUUUUUGUAGAACACAUAGAUUGGUUGAAGGGAUACCAGUUAAAUUUAUAGCCACCGAGCCCCUUGACAACUAGGUUAUUUAUGUUAAGGUUGCUGCUGUGCAGCAAGUGAUAGACGAAAAGUUUGUUCCUUUUGUGGUCAUGGCACAAUUCUUUGCGGUCACACCAUAUUUGAAUUGUUCGGAAUUGUGUUGUCUUCUUUGAUUCACAUGUAUGAAUUCAUGGUUUAUCAUGUGAAUUUUGAUGGUAGUGUCAUAUUUUAUUUUGAUAGUAAUGUUGAAUGGUUAAGCUA